CAGGCAGUGGCUCGGGUGGUUGUUAUCCUUGAUGAUCUUUUUGGCCUUCCUGUGACAUCGGGUAGGUGUCCUGGAGGGCAGGUAGUUUGCCCCCGGUGAUGUGUUGUGCAGACCGCACCACCCUCUAGAGAGUCCUGUGGUUGAGUGCGGUGCAGUUGCCGUACCAGGCGGUGAUACAGCCCAACAGGAUGCAUCUGUAAAAGUUUGUGAGGGUUUUAGGUGACAAGCCAAAUUUCUUCAGCCUCCUGAGGUUGAAGAGGGCCUGUUGCACCUUCUUCACCACACUGUCUGUGUGGGUGGACCAAUUCAGUUUGUCUGUGAUGUGUACGCCGAUGAACUUAAAACUUUCCACCUUCUCCACUACUGUCCUGUCGAUGUGGAUAGGGGGAUGUUCCCUCUACUGUUUCCUGAAGUCCACGAUCAUCUCCUUUGUUUUGUUGACGUUGAGUCAGAGGUUAUUUUCCUGACACCUCACUCCCAGAACCCUCACCUCCUCCAUGUAGGCUGUCUCAUCGUUAUUGGAAAUCAAGCCUACUACUGUUGUUUCAAAAUAUGAAUAGAAAAGGUGUGUACAGCAGUAGUUAUAUAGGAAGAGUCUUGACUAGAAUACAGUAUACACAUAUAAAGUGGGUAAAACAGUAUGUAAACAUUAUUGAAGUGACCAGUGUUCCAUGUCUAUGUACAUUGGGCAGCAGACUCUAAGGUUCAGGGUAGAGUACCGGGUGGUAGUCGGCUAGUAACAGUGACUAAGGUUCAGGGUAGAGUACCCGGGGGUAGUCGGCUAGUAACAGGGACUAAGGUUCAGGGUAGAGUACCGGGUGGUAGCCGACUAGUGACAGUGACUAAGGUUCAGGGUAGAGUACCGGGUGGUAGCUGGCUAGUGACAGUGACUAAGGUUCAGGGUAGAGUACCCGGUGGUAGCCGGCUAGUGACAUAACAACUUGAUUGUGAAAUGUCCUAUCAUGAGGAAAUGACUAGGUGAUACUUAGCCCCUGAACAAGGCAUUUAACACACUGUUCCUAGGCUGUCGUUCUGCCCCUGAACAAGGCAGUUAACCCACUGUUCCUAGGCUGUCGUUCUGCCCCUUAACAGGCUGUUAACCCGAUGUUCCUACACCGUCAUUGAAAAUAAGAAUUUGUUGUUAACUGACUUGCCUAGUUAAAUAAAAUAUAUUCCUGCAAUUUGCAGUCUAUAUUUACUAUAUUUUUAGUGUAGCUUAACUUUUUGUAGUGUGAAGUUAUUGGUAGUUUGGUAAACUAUGAUUUCAGAGUAAUACUGUGGGUUUGGUAAUACUGUGGGUUUGGUAAUACUGUGGGAUUGGUAAUACUGUGGGUUUGGUAAUACUGUGGGUUUGGCAGGAGAAGACAAAACAAAGCAAGAAAGAGAAGAAGAGAAGUAAAGAAGAAGAGAAGUAAAGAAGAAGAGAAGUAAAGAAGAAGAGAAAAGAAGAGAAGUAAAGAAGAGAAGUAAAGAAGAAGAGAAGUAAAGAAGAAGAGAAGUAAAGAAGAAGAGAAGUAAAGAGUGUGUGUUGGAUUUUGAUGUUUUAUUUGAUAUAUUUAUUCGUUUUCUUGCAUGUCUCAUGGAUGGGAGGAAGGGAAAGAGGGGAAUGUUUUUCUGUCACCAGCAGAGUUGAGUGAAGUAGAGUCAUAUUUUUUUAUAAUGGGAACACAACUUUGUGUGUAUUCCAAUCCUUGUCAGUGCAUUGCCAGAGUUGCCCCAUUCCAUUUGAGUGCUGGCUCUAAUUCUGGUUAUUGCAUUGAGGACCACACAGCAGCUUUGAAAUAGGAUAACAGGUUAUGUAUAUAUAACCUGAAAAGACUGCAGAUACCUAUCUGACUCCCAAACAGCCCAAAGUUAGUUACAAUUAUGCAUAUUGUUUUAAAACCUUGAAUUCCUAUUUUAUUUACUCCUAAAAUGCUCCUAUAACAAGAGUUUAUAUUCACUGUUCACGUGUAGAGACAAAACUAUUUGGGAUAAAACUGAUGACAUGUUAUAUCUCAUAAAACACACUGGCAGACACUUAAAAAAUAAAUAAUUUUAAAUAUGCAGAAAGCGUUUAUAUUUUCUAUAUCACUGUAAUUAUCAACCGUUUGUGUUUUUUCCUCACUCCAAAUCGUGCAAUUUACUGAGAUUUAUGUGUUAAUAAAAACCAAUGCAAUAAAACUA
ensembl:lncRNA